UUUCACAAACUGCGCACGGAGAAGCCCUGUUGAAGCCACAUCGGACCGGGGUUCGAUUCCCCGCAUCUCCACAA
rnacentral:tmRNA from 1 species